rnacentral:lncRNA from 1 species
UCUGCGAUGAUUAAGAACACCUGUGGCAACACCAAACAGAGCCCACAAACAUCGUGCUGAUGAGCAAGGACUAGGGAAGAAGAUGCUCAAGAAACAUCCAUGAAAACAACCAGGAGGGCUUUGAGAGAAUGCGGAGCUGGAGCUCGGAUCUUCCUUUCUGAAAAGCAUGAGAAAACCCAGAAGGCUCUGUCUUAAGAUAAAAAGACCAGGGACUUUCUAGGGGUCAUAAGGUUAACUUAUAACAGUCUUUGACAUCUGGAAAAUGAAAAGUAAACACCUG